rnacentral:rRNA from 1 species
UACGUAGGGACCAAGCGUUGUUCGGAUUUACUGGGCGUAAAGGGCGCGUAGGCGGCUUAACAAGUCACUUGUGAAAUCUCCGGGCUUAACUCGGAACGGUCAAGUGAUACUGUCGGACUAGAGUACAGAAGGGGCAACUGGAAUUCUCGGUGUAGCGGUGAAAUGCGUAGAUAUCGAGAGGAACACCUGCGGCGAAGGCGGGUUGCUGGGCUGAUACUGACGCUGAGGCGCGAAAGCCAGGGGAGCGAACGGG